GAUGAACGCUGGCGGCGUGCCUAAUACAUGCAAGUCGAGCGAACAGGCGAGGAGCUUGCUCCUCUGACGUUAGCGGCGGACGGGUGAGUAACACGUGGAUAACCUACCUAUAAGACUGGGAUAACUUCGGGAAACCGGAGCUAAUACCGGAUAAUAUAUUGAACCGCAUGGUUCAAUAGUGAAAGACGGUUUUGCUGUCACUUAUAGAUGGAUCCGCGCCGCAUUAGCUAGUUGGUAAGGUAACGGCUUACCAAGGCAACGAUGCGUAGCCGACCUGAGAGGGUGACCGGCCACACUGGAACUGAGACACGGUCCAGACUCCUACGGGAGGCAGCAGUAGGGAAUCUUCCGCAAUGGGCGAAAGCCUGACGGAGCAACGCCGCGUGAGUGAUGAAGGUCUUCGGAUCGUAAAACUCUGUUAUUAGGGAAGAACAAAUGUGUAAGUAACUAUGCACGUCUUGACGGUACCUAAUCAGAAAGCCACGGCUAACUACGUG
rnacentral:rRNA from 1 species